GUUCUCCCAUCGUCACUGGAAGAGCUAGCUUCUGUUGUUGGGUAGCUGGCAGGCAGCUUGGUUGGGCCUUGCUGCAGCUUGGUUUAUGUUCGGGUUUCUUGCAUCUUCGCCUAUAAGAACGAGUCUUCGCGUGGCAGUGGACUGUUUGUAUGUCCAGUUUGAACGUGUGUGUGCUUGGAAAACGUGCCAUUAAGCACUGUUCGGUAGCUCUCCGGUUGCUGCGUCGGAUCAGCUGUGCCUCCAGGUAGGUAAUCUAACCCUAGCUUUGCAUUUAG